GGNGGAGGNUUAACUGCCCCUUUAGAAUUUGCCCCGUUAAUCGAUAACCCACGGUNCAACCYCCUUAAAGUNGAGUCAGCGUUGUAUACCGCCGAGCAUCAGGAAAUUUUAAGAAAAUAUCUCCAGAAACUUAAUUAGCCCUYUAAGAACAGGUCAAGGUGCAGUGUUAUAUCUAAGAGAGGGGUGAAUUACAAUAAAUAUAUUUAUUACGGACUUGAGUGUAAGAGAAAACGAAGGUGGAUU
rnacentral:rRNA from 1 species